GAGGCUGAUUGUCAUGCUCCCGGGUAGUUGGGACGCGUCCACUUCAUCAACGCUAAAGCCAAUUAAACGGCAAAUAAAACAACAACUAAGCUUUCGCAGCUUAAUAACCUGUGAGCUAGCCCUAUCUCUGCAUCGCCCAUGUGCCGGGCCCAACUUUCGUGGGAUACGCCAUUUGGCCUCUGCCUUGGGUCAACGGAAGAAGAUAAUCAGGCUGACCCGAAGGGAAUCCGGUGACAGGGAGUCUCUAGGGUGACAUCAAAUCUGUCACUACACCCGUAGAAACGUAUGUGGCGUUGCCUUCGGACAGGGGCUCUACUCCCCUC
rnacentral:tmRNA from 1 species